AGCAGUAGCCGCGGUAAUACGGAGGGUGCAAGCGUUAAUCGGAAUUACUGGGCGUAAAGCGCACGCAGGCGGUUUGUUAAGUCAGAUGUGAAAUCCCCGGGCUCAACCUGGGAACUGCAUUUGAAACUGGCAAGCUAGAGUCUCGUAGAGGGGGGUAGAAUUCCAGGUGUAGCGGUGAAAUGCGUAGAGAUCUGGAGGAAUACCGGUGGCGAAGGCGGCCCCCUGGACGAAGACUGACGCUCAGGUGCGAAAGCGUGGGGAGCAAACAGGAUUAGAUACCCGUGUAGUCCCUGUCUCUUAUAC
rnacentral:rRNA from 1 species